GACGAACGCUGGCGGCGUGCUUAACACAUGCAAGUCGAACGCGCCUGUCCUCUGGGUUUCUGGGGGGUGGGUGAGUGGCGAACGGGUGAGUAACACGUGAGUAACCUGCCCCCUUCUUCGGGAUAACGGUCUGAAAGGGCUGCUAAUACCGGGUAUUCACUGGUCUCCGCAUGGGGUCUGGUGUAAAGGUUUUUUUCUGGUGGGGGAUGGGCUCGCGGCCUAUCAGCUUGUUGGUGGGGUGAUGGCCCACCAAGGCUUUGACGGGUAGCCGGCCUGAGAGGGUGACCGGUCACAUUGGGACGGAGAUACGGCCCAGACUCGUACGGGAGGGAGCAGUGGGGAAUAUUGCACAAUGGGCGCAAGCCUGAUGCAGCGACGCCGCGUGAGGGAUGGAGGCCUUCGGGUUGUGAACCUCUUUCGCCCGUGGUCAAGCCGCGACGUGGGUCGUGGUGAGGGUAGUGGGUAAAGAAGCGCCGGCUAACUACGUG
rnacentral:rRNA from 1 species